ensembl:lncRNA
AGCCGCUAAGCUCACGCGCCACAGCCACUGAGCCUGUGCUUUAGAGCUUGGGAGCGGCAACUACUAAGCUCACAGGCUGAAACCACAGAAGCCCUCACACCCUGGAGCCCAUGCUUCCUGCAACAAGAGGAGCCAUGCACACCCCACCCCCUGCUCCCUGCAACUGGAGAAAGACCUGCACAGCCAUGAAGAUCCGGUACACCCAAAACUAAACAACAUUCUUCUAAAAGAGAGAGGAAUCCAGCGCAUUGCAUUUCCCAGGCUGUUUCCCAUGGCUGAGUUCUGGCCCGAGGAAUGUGACCGCAUCUGUGCCUGGCGCAGCACACCGUGAGUGCCAUUCUCUGAGGGCUCUCUCUUCCGGUCCCUGUUGGCUGUAUGCGGAGAAUCCAACAGAGGACCCUGAGGCCCUAGAAGAUGACAGAGCUGUGCAAUAGAAGCCUGACCACCUGGAGUAGUGCUCUGCCCCUGACCCUGGCUACGCUGCACUGUGACGUGAACAAAAAAUAAGCAUUUUUGUUAAUAAACCAUUUUUGUUGAUGGUUUUGUUAAGCCAUUGAGAUCCGGAGUUUGUUAUGUUGCCUAGCUUACUCAUUCAUACUCAUGUUUAGAUGUACUCAAGCUCACCGGAGAAAGGCAAAAAAUAUAGGUAUUUAUAU